rnacentral:tRNA from 1 species
GCGGGUGUAGCUCAGUUGGUUAGAGCGCCGGCCUGUCACGCCGGAGGUCGCGGGUUCGAGCCCCGUCACUCGCGCCU